UGAUCAACAAUGAACUCAAUGACAAAAUUAUAAUUUCAGGUCAAGAACAACAGGAUGGUACUAAUGUGACUGCAGGGUCAGACUAACCUGGAACAUUUUUUCUAGAGGGGUCCUGUCUAGACCUAAACAUCUUUGAUCUGGGUUCAAAUCCUUUGGCUCCUCAGAACCUACCAUGACAGUAGUAUCAGCGGCACCAGGAUGAAGUCCAGUCAUCUGAGAGUUUUCCUUCUAUCCAGCAGCUUUUGCCAUUAAGCAUCAAAGACUUUAUUUCACUGUUUUCAGUUGUUGAUUCAGAUUUAGUUUCACAUUCAAAAACAAACAUCCAUCAUGAAUAAAUUUAGGAGGAAAUGGAAAAAAAA